rnacentral:lncRNA from 1 species
AAAAAUAUUUCGAACUUAUGAAAAUCAUUUAGACUGAUAAGAAAAUUAUCUGUGAUAUCGUCAAGUGUUUAGGCAGAGUUUAAUUAAACUUAGACUCCUUAAAUUGUCCGACUAGACCGUCGGGAUGAUAGAAUUGUACCGAUUUCAACUCGGACUGAAAUAGUUUGACUUGAAGCUAUGUCUUAUGUGUAUAAGAGACUGAUAAGAUUAUGUGGUAAUAUGUUUAAGUUAUUUUAUAACUGUGAUGAUAUUAUUCUAAUACUGGAGAUCUAUAUUAUUAAUAUUAGGUCUUCGGGAAAAGCUUAUUAUAUUGUGUUACGGUAAUCAACGGUUCAGGCAAGUUUUUCAAGUUCAUUUUACUUAAACUCUUUUAAGAGUGGUUUCAGACAGAUAUGCUUAUGAAUUGUACUCUGUGCAUAUUGCAUGUAUUCAUCAGAUAUGAAAGGCUGAUCACCUUCAUUACCAGUCAGUUCAGAUAUAAUUGUUAUGUUCAUUUUCAAUGUUCAUUCAGCUUUGAAAUUUUGUUCAUGCUAAUUCACAACUACAUUGUGAAGGAUAGCCAGCUUAUUAUUCAAACUCUUUCAAUCAUGAUAUAUCUUUACCUUGUUUUUUUUAAACUUGCUGGGCAA